rnacentral:rRNA from 1 species
UACGUAGGGUGCGAGCGUUGCCCGGAUUUAUUGGGCGUAAAGGGCUCGUAGGCGGUUUGUCACGUCGGGAGUGAAAACUCAGGGCUCAACCCUGAGCGUGCUUCCGAUACGGGCAGACUAGAGGUAUGCAGGGGAGAACGGAAUUCCUGGCGUAGCGGUGGAAUGCGCAGAUAUCAGGAGGAACACCGGUGGCGAAGGCGGUUCUCUGGGCAUUACCUGACGCUGAGGAGCGAAAGCAUGGGGAGCGAACAGG